rnacentral:rRNA from 1 species
AGUGAACGCUGGCGGUAGGCCUAACACAUGCAAGUCGAACGGCAGCACAGUAAGAGCUUGCUCUUACGGGUGGCGAGUGGCGGACGGGUGAGGAAUACAUCGGAAUCUACUUUUUCGUGGGGGAUAACGUAGGGAAACUUACGCUAAUACCGCAUACGACCUACGGGUGAAAGCAGGGGAUCUUCGGACCUUGCGCGAUUGAAUGAGCCGAUGUCGGAUUAGCUAGUUGGCGGGGUAAAGGCCCACCAAGGCGACGAUCCGUAGCUGGUCUGAGAGGAUGAUCAGCCACACUGGAACUGAGACACGGUCCAGACUCCUACGGGAGGCAGCAGUGGGGAAUAUUGGACAAUGGGCGCAAGCCGGAUCCAGCCAUACCGCGUGGGUGAAGAAGGCCUUCGGGUCGUAAAGCCCUUUUGUUGGGAAAGAAAAGCAGCAGGUUAAUACCCCGCUGUUCUGACGGUACCCAAAGAAUAAGCACCGGCUAACUUCGUG